ensembl:lncRNA
GGCAGGGUCUGGCUGUUGGAGAGGUUGGGACCAGCAGACAUGCAGCAGAGCUUGCGGAGCAGCCUGGUUAGAGCUGCAGAGGUGUUGAGAUACAAUGCAGGAGGUCAUUCCUAACGGGUGGGAGAUAUGUCGAUGGUAGCACACAGGCAAUGAAUGUUCCUUCUUUUUUCUUUUAGCCUUAGUCAAAUUAGUUCCCAGCUCUUUAUUAAGGUGUUUUGAGAGCCAAGUAUUCUUACAUUUCCCAGCUCUUCUUUUCUUACUGUGAGUCAGUUGUGCUGUUCUUCUUG